UCUUAGGAUGUGGACAUUUCACUUCCUUUCUUCUGACGGGAGGAUGGGAUCACAAUAAUCUUCUUCUGGCAUUAGAGGCAUACGAAAAAGCUAAGAGAAUUGAUGCAAUGAAGUCAAACCCACAUCUUGAAUACGACUGUAGCAUGGUGAAUAGAUAUCUGGAGAACUACAAGAUGUCUCUAACUGGAUUUUCAGAUGCUGCAUUAAAGAAUCCUGCUAGUGAUGCUUUACAUCAAGUGAAAGUGACGAUCCAGCUUCUUGACAAACUAAAAAGAUUA